UACGUAGGGUGCGAGCGUUGUCCGGAAUUAUUGGGCGUAAAGAGCUCGUAGGCGGUGUGUCGCGUCGGCCGUGAAAACCUGCAGCUUAACUGUGGGCUUGCGGUCGAUACGGGCAUCACUGGAGUUCGGCAGGGGAGACUGGAAUUCCUGGUGUAGCGGUGAAAUGCGUAGAGAUCGGCAGGAACACCCAGGGGGAAACCAGUCGACUGGGCAGCACCUGACGCUGAGGUGCGAGAGCGUGGGGAGCGAACCGG
rnacentral:rRNA from 1 species